rnacentral:rRNA from 1 species
UAUCUAUCCACGGGUGGGGGAUAACAGCGGGAAACUGCUGCUAAUACCGCAUGACACCUGAGGGUCAAAGGCGCAAGUCGCCUGUGGAGGAGCCUGCGUACGAUUAGCUUGUUGGUGGGGUAGCUGCCUACCAAGGCGACGAUCGUUAGCUGGUCUGAGAGGAUGAUCAGCCACAUUGGGACUGAGACACGGCCCAAACUCCUACGGGAGGCAGCAGUGGGGAAUAUUGGACAAUGGGCGAAAGCCUGAUCCAGCAAUGCCGCGUGUGU